UACGAAGGGGGCUAGCGUUGCUCGGAAUUACUGGGCGUAAAGGGCGCGUAGGCGGAUAUUUAAGUCGGGGGUGAAAUCCCGGGGCUCAACCUCGGAAUUGCCUUCGAUACUGGAUAUCUUGAGUUCGGGAGAGGUGAGUGGAAUGCCGAGUGUAGAGGUGAAAUUCGUAGAUAUUCGGCGGAACACCAGUGGCGAAGGCGGCUCACUGGACCGGUACUGACGCUGAUGCGCGAAAGCGUGGGGAGCGAACAGG
rnacentral:rRNA from 1 species